GGUGGCUCAGCGGUAGAGCGCUUGCCUCACAUGCAUGAGGCCCUGAGUUUGAUUCCUCAGCACCA
rnacentral:tRNA from 1 species